GAGUUUGAUCUUGGCUCAGGACGAACGCUGGCGGCGUGCCUAACACAUGCAAGUCGAGCGGAGACAGUGAGUAGCUUGCUAUGAGCUGUUUUAGCGGCGGACGGGUGAGUAACGCGUGAGCAACCUUUCCCAGACAGGGGAAUAACACACCGAAAGGUGUACUAAUACCGCAUAAGACCACGGGAUCACAUGGUUCUGGGGUAAAAGAUUUAUCGGUUUGGGUGGGCUCGCGUCCGAUUAGGUAGUUGGUGAGGUAACGGCCCACCAAGCCGACGAUCGGUAGCCGACCUGAGAGGGUGAUCGGCCACAUUGGGACUGAGACACGGCCCAAACUCCUACGGGAGGCAGCAGUGGGGAAUAUUGGGCAAUGGGGGAACCCUGACCCAGCAACGCCGCGUGGAGGAAGAAGGUUUUCGGAUCGUAAACUCCUGUCCUUGGAGACGAGUAGAAGACGGUAUCCAAGGAGGAAGCCCCGGCUAACUACGUGCCAGCAGCCGCGGU
rnacentral:rRNA from 1 species